rnacentral:rRNA from 1 species
UACGGAGGGGGCUAGCGUUGUUCGGAAUUACUGGGCGUAAAGCGCACGUAGGCGGCUUUGUAAGUUAGAGGUGAAAGCCCGGAGCUCAACUCCGGAAUUGCCUUUAAGACUGCAUCGCUUGAAUCAUGGAGAGGUGAGUGGAAUUCCGAGUGUAGAGGUGAAAUUCGUAGAUAUUCGGAAGAAUACCAGUGGCGAAGGCGACUCACUGGACAUGUAUUGACGCUGAGGUGCAAAAGCGUGAGGAGCAAACAGG